UACGAAGGGGGCUAGCGUUGUUCGGAAUCACUGGGCGUAAAGCGCACGCAGGCGGAUUGAUAAGUCAGGGGUGAAAUCCCGGAGCUCAACUUCGGAAUUGCCUUUGAUACUGUCUGUCUUGAGUCCGGGAGAGGUGAGUGGAAUUCCCGGUGUAGUGGUGAAAUGCGUAGAUAUCGGGAGGAGCACCAGUGGCGAAGGCGACUACCUGGCCCAUUCUUGACGCUGAGGCGCGAAAGCUAGGGGAGCGAACGGG
rnacentral:rRNA from 1 species